AUGGUUCAUUGGUUAAGAACACUGGCUGAUCUUCCAGAGGACCUGGGUUUAAUUCCCAGU
rnacentral:tRNA from 1 species